rnacentral:tRNA from 1 species
AGACCAUUAGCUAAGUUGGUUGUAGCGGGAGUCUCUUAAACUCUGUCUUACGUGUGUUCGAAUCACACAUGGUCUACCA